rnacentral:rRNA from 1 species
GCAGUCGAGCGGAUGAGGGUGCUUGCCCUUGGAUUCAGCGGCGGACGGGUGAGUAAUGCCUAGGAAUCUGCCUGGUAGUGGGGGAUAACGUUCCGAAAGGAACGCUAAUACCGCGUACGUCCUACGGGAGAAAGCAGGGGACCUUCGGGCCUUGCGCUAUCAGAUGAGCCUAGGUCGGAUUAGCUAGUUGGUGAGGUAAUGGCUCACCAAGGCGACGAUCCGUAACUGGUCUGAGAGGAUGAUCAGUCACACUGGAACUGAGACACGGUCCAGACUCCUACGGGAGGCAGCAGUGCGGAAUAUUGGACAAUGGGCGAAAGCCUGAUCCAGCCAUGCCGCGUGUGUGAAGAAGGUCUUCGGAUUGUAAAGCACUUUAAGUUGGGAGGAAGGGCUGUAGGCUAAUAUCCUGCAGUUUUGACGUUACCAACAGAAUAGGCACCGGCUAACUUCGUGCCAGCAGCCGCGGUAAUACGAAGGGUGCAAGCGUUAAUCGGAUUUACUGGGCGUAAAGCGCGCGUAGGUGGUUCGUUAAGUUGGAUGUGAAAGCCCCGGGCUCAACCUGGGAACUGCAUCCAAAACUGGCGAGCUAGAGUACGGUAGAGGGUAGUAGAAUUUCCUGUGUAGCGGUGAAAUGCGUANAUAUAGGAAGGAACACCAGUGGCNAANGGNGACUACCUNNNNUGAUACUGACNCUGNNNGCGAAAGCGUGGGNNGCAAACGGGAUUAGAUACCCUGGNA